GAUGAACGCUAGCUACAGGCUUAACACAUGCAAGUCGUAGCGGUUUGUGCUUUUGCACAUUCAGCGGCAGACGGGUGAGUAACACGUAUCUAACCUUCCCCUUACUUGGGCAUAGCCUCUGGAAACGGAGAUUAAUUUCCGAUGUGGUGUACAUUUCGCAUGUUUUGCGCACCAAAGAUUUAUCGGUAAGGGAUGGGGAUGCGCUCCAUUAGGUAGUAGGUAGGGUAAUGGCCUACCUAGCCUAUGAUGGAUAGGGGUUCUGAGAGGAAGGUCCCCCACAUUGGAACUGCGACACGGUCCAAACUCCUACGGGAGGCAGCAGUGAGGAAUAUUGGUCAAUGGCCGGAAGGCUGAACCAGCCAAGUAGCGUGCAGGAAGACUGCCUUAUGGGUUGUAAACUGCUUUUUUACGGGAAUAAUUAUGAUCACGUGUGAUUAUUUGCAUGUACCGUAAGAAUAAGGAUCGGCUAACUCCGUG
rnacentral:rRNA from 1 species